AUUGAACGCUGGCGGAAUGCUUUACACAUGCAAGUCGAACGGCAGCACGGACUUCGGUCCGGUGGCGAGUGGCGAACGGGUGAGUAAUGUAUCGGAACGUGCCCAGUCGUGGGGGAUAACGUAGUGAAAAUUACGCUAAUACCGCAUACGAUCUAUGGAUGAAAGCGGGGGAUCGCAAGACCUCGCGGCAUUAGAGCGGCCGAUAUCAGAUUAGGUAGUUGGUGGGGUAAAGGCCCACCAAGCCAACGAUCUGUAGCUGGUCUGAGAGGACGACCAGCCACACUGGAACUGAGACACGGUCCAGACUCCUACGGGAGGCAGCAGUGGGAAUUUUGGACAAUGGGCGAAAGCCUGAUCCAGCCAUUCCGCGUGCAGGAUGAAGGCCCUCGGGUUGUAAACUGCUUUUGUACAGAACGAAAAGGUUUCUACUAAUACUAGGAGCUCAUGACGGUACUGUAAGAAUAAGCACCGGCUAACUACGUGCCAGCAGCCGCAGUAA
rnacentral:rRNA from 1 species